GUCACAUUUGGUGGGACUGCACACCGAUCCAGGCAUACUGGGCAGAAAUAAAACAGGAAAUAGCGACAAUCCUGGGUGACAUAACCGAACUCACCAUAGAAGCGGCGCUCUUACACUUCACCAGAAGCACAAUAUCCCAAUAUAAGAGAUCGAUAUUACGACACCUGCUCAACGCGGCUAAAGCACUAAUACCGGCCAGGUGGAAGCGGACGCAACCGCCUACCAAAGCAGAAUGGCUACAGAGAGUCGAGGAGAUCCACACAGCGGAGGCAAGAUACGCAGAACUG